rnacentral:misc_RNA from 1 species
GAUGAAGAACGUAGCGAAAUGCGAUACGUAAUGUGAAUUGCAGAAUUCAGUGAAUCAUCGAGUCUUUGAACGCACAUUGCGCCCCCUGGUAUUCCGGGGGGCAUGCCUGUCCGAGCGUCAUUGCUGCCCUCAAGCACGGCUUGUGUGUUGGGCCUCCGUCCUCCUCCCGGGGGGCGGGCCCGAAAGGCAGCGGCGGCACCGCGUCCGGUCCUCGAGCGUAUGGGGCUUCGUCACCCGCUCUUGUAGGCCCGGCCGGCGCUUGCCGACACAUCAAUCUUUUUUCCAGGUUGACCUCGGAUCAGGUAGGGAUACCCGCUGAACUUAAGCAUAUCAAUAAGCGAGGA